GUCAUUGAUAGCUUUCUUGUUCUGCCCCAUUCUAGGUACUGUAAUCACUGUUUCUUCAACUUUAAACUUGCAAACUAUGUUUUCAGUGGUGUCUCAAGGAACAUUCAGUGCCUUCACUAUGUAUUUGUAUCCUGUUCUUUGUUUGUGAAGGACAAUGAUCUCUUCCCUUAACUUUAUUGACCAUUCUUUUGACAUAUUUCAAACAUGCAGUCAAACGUGACACUCAACAAACUCCUAGACAACACUUGUUUUGGAUAUUUGUGAGAUUGUGAGGGAUUCUAGGGAAACCACUUGAAGCAUUCAUUGUAUUGAGCUAUUUUAAUUGCUUUUGUUUGAUUUGCUCAUUGCAAACAGCUGAAAGCCUGUAGAUUUUGACAAUAAACCUGCUUUUCAAUGGGGGUUAAAUAAUUUUGAUUGUAACUGUAG